rnacentral:lncRNA from 1 species
GAGUUGAAGGCAGCAAAGAUUCUCAUCUUCAUUUUACAGGCACUUGAAUUUUUUGAGAUUGUGUGCUUCCACAAAAACAACCAAUCUGUGGCCAAGAUGUAAUUAAGACCCAUGAUUUCUAAUUCCCAGGCUGUGACUCCAACCUCUGAAAAUGCUUCAAUUCAAUGAAACUAAUGGCACUUUGGUCUCUGGAAUUAGAUCCUGUUAUCAAUGACUUCCACAUGGAAAGAUCAUUCCAAAAUGUGUAAUUAACCAAGAAAAUGCAAAUAAACCAAUUUGUACCUGCUAUUUAGAGGUCUCUCACCAUCCCCACUCCACCGCGCUGUGAUAGGUGCUGCAUGUUCAGUUGGUGUGAAGAGACAUUGGGCAAUUGCCGAUUACGACAGGUACACUGCUCUAUUUGAAGUGACGAACAAAGCAAAUGGCCACAUUUUCUCCUCCUUCAGUAGCAGUGCCUGAUUUCUAGCAGAGGCUUGAUCAUAUCAUGGAAUGAUUGCAAG